rnacentral:rRNA from 1 species
UGGGGAAUUUUGCACAAUGGGCGCAAGCCUGAUGCAGCGACGCCGCGUGAGGGAUGAAGGCCUUCGGGUUGUAAACCUUUUUCGCUCAUGGUCAAGCCGCAGCUUUGGGUUGUGGUGAGGGUAGUGGGUAAAGAAGCGCCGGCUAACUACGUGCCAGCAGCCGCGGUAAUACGUAGGGCGCGAGCGUUGUCCGGAAUUAUUGGGCGUAAAGGGCUUGUAGGCGGUUGGCCGCGUCUGCCGUGAAAUCCUCUGGCUUAUCUGGGGGCGUGCGGUGGGUACGGGUUGACUUGAGUGCGGUAGGGGAGACUGGAAUUCCUGGUGUAGCGGUGGAAUGCGCAGAUAUCAGGAGGAACACCGGUGGCGAAGGCGGGUCUCUGGGCCGUUACUGACGCUGAGGAGCGAAAGCGUGGGGAGCGAACAGG